rnacentral:rRNA from 1 species
AGUGAACGCUGGCGGUAGGCCUAACACAUGCAAGUCGAACGGCAGCACAGUAAGAGCUUGCUCUUACGGGUGGCGAGUGGCGGACGGGUGCGGAAUACAUCGGAAUCUACUUUUUCGUGGGGGAUAACGUAGGGAAACUUACGCUAAUACCGCAUACGACCUACGUGUGAAAGCAGGGGAUCUUCGGACCUUGCGCGAUUGAAUGAGCCGAUGUCGGAUUAGCUAGUUGGCGGGGUAAAGGCCCACCAAGGCGACGAUCCGUAGCUGGUCUGAGAGGAUGAUCAGCCACACUGGAACUGAGACACGGUCCAGACUCCUACGGGAGGCAGCAGUGGGGAAUAUUGGACAAUGGGCGCAAGCCUGAUACAGCCAUACCGCGUGGGUGAAGAAGGCCUUCGGGUUGUAAAGCCCUUUUGUUGGGAAAGAAAAGCAGCAGGUUAAUACCCCGCUGUUCCGACGGUACCCAAAGAAUAAGCACCGGCUAACUUCGUG